rnacentral:rRNA from 1 species
GACGAACGCUGGCGGCGUGCUUAACACAUGCAAGUCGAACGGAAAGGCCCUGCUUUUGUGGGGUGCUCGAUUGGCGAACGGGUGAGUAACACGUGAGUAACCUGCCCUUGACUUUGGGAUAACUUCAGGAAACUGGGGCUAAUACCGGAUAGGAGCUCCUGCUGCAUGGUGGGGGUUGGAAAGUUUCGGCGGUUGGGGAUGGACUCGCGGCUUAUCAGCUUGUUGGUGGGGUAGUGGUUUACCAAGGCUUUGACGGGUAGCCUGCCUGAGAGGGUGACCGGCCACAUUGGGCCUGAGAUACGGCCCAGACGCCUACGGGAGGCAGCAGUGGGGAAUAUGGCACAAUGGGCGGAAGCCUGAUGCAGCAACGCCGCGUGCGGGAUGACGGCCUUCGGGUUGUAAACCGCUUUCGCCUGUGACGAAGCGUGAGUGACGGUAAUGGGUAAAGAAGCACCGGCUAACUACGUG